rnacentral:rRNA from 1 species
UACAGAGGGUGCAAGCGUUAAUCGGAGUUACUGGGCGUAAAGCGCGCGUAGGUGGUUCGUUAAGUUGGAUGUGAAAUCCCCGGGCUCAACCUGGGAACUGCAUUCAAAACUGUCGAGCUAGAGUAUGGUAGAGGGUGGUAGAAUUUCCUGUGUAGCGGUGAAAUGCGUAGAUAUAGGAAGGAACACCAGUGGCGAAGGCGACCACCUGGACUGAUACUGACACUGAGGUGCGAAAGCGUGGGGAGCAAACAGG